rnacentral:rRNA from 1 species
AUGAAUAUCCUAGCCUGGAACUGUCGAGGACUGGGGUUGGACUCGACAGUAGGCAAACUCAGAGACCUGAUUAGGUCAUACAACCCAGCGGUGGUGUUUUUGUGUGAGACAAAGAAGAGAGCGCGGGCAAUGGAGAAGAUCAAGUGGAGUCUUGGUUGCAGAGAUGGGGUUGCGGUUGAUUGUUGUGGUAAAAGUGGGGGCAUAACUCUUUGGUGGCGUGACAAUGUUCAAGUUGCUGUUAGACCCUGGUGUUAG